GCCUACGGGGCGCAGCAGUGAGGAAUAUUGGUCAAUGGACGGAAGUCUGAACCAGCCAUGCCGCGUGCAGGAAGACGGCUCUAUGAGUUGUAAACUGCUUUUGUACAAGGGUAAACCUGAAUACGUGUAUUCAGCUGAAAGUACUGUACGAAUAAGGAUCGGCUAACUCCGUGCCAGCAGCCGCGGUAAUACGGAGGAUGCGAGCGUUAUCCGGAUUUAUUGGGUUUAAAGGGUGCGCAGGCGGCACGGCAAGCCGGCGGUCAAAUCGCGGGGCUCAACCCCGCCCCGCCGUCGGAACUGCCGGG
rnacentral:rRNA from 1 species